UUCCGGUAACGAACGAGACUGAAACCUAUUAAUUAAUUAUUUAUCCAUUGAGGUGAAUAUAUUUUUUAUUAAAUACGUGUUUACACGAUUACUUAAAGGGACACAUUUCAAUUGUUUUUUAUUAAUUUCAUGAUAAAGUAUUACUUUAACUGAUUUUAAUGAGAAAAAAAGGAAAUGGAUCCAUUCAGCAAUAACAGGUCUGUGAUGCCCUUAGACAUCUUGGGCUGCACGCGCGCUACAAUGAAGUUACUAGAGAGUAAUUUAUUGGAAGGUCGUGUUAUAUGAGACUUUGUUUUAUAUAAUAUAAAAAAUUUCAAUGUCCCAAAGAUUA
rnacentral:rRNA from 1 species